CCUGAAAUUGACUAGAGAAGAGAGACAAUGAUGAUUGUUUAGUGGUGGAGGGAGAUUUCGCCGCGAUUAUUGGUGGUGGAGGGAGAUCGGCGUGGAGGAAUUUGAUUUCGUUGAGAAGAAGAAGACGAGUGAGGAAUAGAAAGAGAAUUGCUAUAACAAGAAAUAAAAAAUAAAAAGAAGCCAGGGUAUAAAGAGAAAAGUGAGACACACGUGAGGUAAAGUAUAAAUUGGGUGUAUAAAUGAACAGUGAUGUAACAUGUUGUAUAUUUGUUUGGUCCUUGUGUCUAGAUAACAUUUCUGU
rnacentral:lncRNA from 1 species